rnacentral:lncRNA from 1 species
UUACACCCAACUAACCCAGCUUACUUACGCAAGCUCGCAUUAGUUGUUGCUCCAUAGGUAAAUGCCAAAGGAGAAGAUACCCCCUCUAGCGGAAAUAAACAAACAAACUGAGCACCAAAACAGCGCAACGCGACGGGCCGCUAGAGGGACAAAGGACGCGAGAGCUGCCAGACAGGCACACACACCGACACGAAAGAAAGCUCCCCAAGCAAAACGCCUCAACGACCUCCAAACGAUACUCCAGCAGCAAGGACGGCGGACACGCCAUCUCUACACAGGCAAAAGAGCGAACAAACAGAACGCUGCCAAAACCACAAGGACGAGGUCAAACCAGCACUCUCCAACCGCGCACAGACUGACCCACCGGCCACCAACGCGACGGAUCCCUCAACAAACGCUGACGGACGCCCACUGAAGGAAGGGACGAUAGACACGCGAGGAUGCCAAACAUGUGCCCGCUAAGGGUUGACUAAACGGCCAACUAGGGCUUGAACUGAAAACCGGCUCUGCAAUAACGACCGCUCCACGCGCCCAGGGCACUGACAGCAGGGAUACGGAUGACGAAACCCAGCACGACAAACAGCAAGGUCGGGGCCACCUCCGAACCAACAGGUACAACGGCCAACUGUUCAAAGAAUCCACACAGCACCUGCAAUAAAGGCCAACACAAAGAGAGUCUGACAGAGCCACGGAGUGCUGCAAAUGCAACCAACUACUAUAAAAACGCCGCCAGCAGGGGCUGCCUCCAGCACAGGGCGCUCUUGGUUAACCGAGCAAGUCAUACACGGAGCUCACGGAGUUCACGGCACUGAAAAUAAGGCGGAGCAGCACGGGCUUGGAUAAAGCUCUUGGCAGCUAGGAACUGACCCCACAGGAGCCCGACAUAAACGGAGUCAGAAAGAGCCCCAGCCUACCGCGACACAGAAAACGCACAAACACAGCGAAGCAAAACUGCCAGGUCUUAGCACCAACCCUGGGACAAGGUAACCUGGCAACCGGCAAAGACAUGCGGAAUGGACCAACCCUAGGCCGGCGAGCGACAGCUGCGAUACCAACAGGUUAUCAAAGACCGGGGAUGUCGCAACGGAUUGCAGAUCCAGCGAGAAACCGGGACCUAUUCCGCGCCAAAGGUACUACUCGAAUUUAGUCCCAAAUCCAGCGGGGUUGGAACCAGCGGUACCACCGGAUACCAAGCAAGUGAAACCGCUCCGAAAUCACGAGAAACCAAACGCAGGUUAACACCAAGCGACGAAAAAACCAACUACCUGCGCGGUGCCUAAGGAGCGCACACACAACAAAUCCCUACCUAUUCGCUCCACAUAACUGCAUACCUGCUCCCCUGGCGCAAAGCAACUACAGCGUUCCCUCAAAGAUGGUCCCACUGCCCCUAUAACAAAUAACGCGGCCCAGGGGGAAGGGUGAAAUGCUCGGAAAGCGCUCCUAGCGGGGCACACACACGGCCGAACUUGCAGCGUCUCACGGAACGACCUAGUGCUAAGCAAAGCGCCCACAUGAAGAUUGCACCCGCACUGCCACGACCUGCCAGGAAGGGGGUGGUAGAUAGGUGCUCGACCCACCCUCGCCCGGCGCAAACAGCUCCGUAUUGGACGGCAGGAACACAAGGUCAACCGCCAACUCCAUCAACUGUUGCCACCAAGGUUGGGCCGUCCAGUACGGCACGACUAGGGUGAGGCACGCUCCCUCCUCGCGCACUUUCUGCACCACAGCAGCAAGAAGUCGGGGUCCAAGGGUGGGCAGCCAUAUGCAUUAAGUCCUGCCCAAGAUUGCAAGAGAGCAUUGACCCCCGACGAACCCGGACAAUGGUGGCGAGAAAAGAAAACCGGGAGAUGCGUGUUAAUAUGCGUGGCAAACAAGUCGACAUGGUGCGGACCGAAGCGGUGCUCCAAAAGGCGGAAAAACCGGGGAUGCAAGCGGUAACCAUCACGGUCUACCCAACGCGAGGCUUCAUCUGCCUCGUUGUCAGCACUAGCCACACGCUCGACUUGCAGAACAAUACUAUGUUUCUGCAUAAAUCCCCAUAAUAAUAAUAAUAAAAUUUAGUUCGGCAUGCAGAGCUGCCGAGCGCGAGGAAAGACACCCUAGCACUGCUUGUGUGCACAUAUUGUCCUCCCUAAUUAACACAACACGCUGCUGAACGAACGGGAGGAAGGACUCUAAAGCAUGACGGACAGCGCGCAACUCCUUCCAUUUGAUGUGCUCGUAGAGCUCUGGUGCCGACCAAUAACCGCGCGCCACACGACCAUGCAGGACCGCGCCCCACGAAUGGCAUGGUGCAUCCACUGAAAGCUCAACUGCAGCAGGCCCCUGCUGAAUAGCCGCCGAGCAGCGGUGGGUAGGGAUGUCCGCCCACCAAUCUAAGUCACGUAACGACCCACGGGACAAGCGAACUCGACCGGACCAGCCAACAGGUUGCUUAAUGUCGUCGUAAAAAUUGCGGAGAAAUAAAGGUGCUGGGGUAAGGGCCAAUUUGACACUCUGCGCAAAACCACAAAACUUAGCCAGCUCACGCUUCUGGACAAGACGCCGAUUUUUCUUUGCCGUGAUCCGCAACCCGAUCGCCAGCCGCCGCAAUUUGGUGAGCUUCUGCUUAGGCACCUCAAACACACCAGCUGCCGUAUUGAUUGUAAUGCCUAA